rnacentral:lncRNA from 1 species
CAUGCAUUUAAAUUUUUUACAGAAAAAUAAAAAAUGAACAGUGUGAUCCAUUAAAACCUAACUGAAGCUGAGCUAUACAUAGUUGCAUCGAUCCAAUUUUGAUGCAUGCAUUGUGACAUUUAGCAGCAGUGCAGGCAAUAAAGUCAUUUCACCUCGUACCCUUCCCAUUUAAUCAAAACCUAUCCUUGUAAAAUUUGGAUUUAUUUUCGCCCUUUCUCCCUUGGGAACAAGUCCCCUCCUGUCUCUCUGCCACCAUUCUCACACUCGAGUUGCUUCCCAAACCAAAGGGCAUUACGGUAAAAAUGCCGCCUGAAACAUCCCAAACCUGAGGAGGACCCAGAAUUUAUGGAUGUGCCUCGCUUUUCAUGGA